UGUGUAUGUAUAUGUGUGUGUGUAUAUAUAUAUAUAUAUAUACACAUAUAUAUAUAUACACAUACACACACACACACACA